rnacentral:rRNA from 1 species
UUGAACGCUGGCGGCAGGCCUAACACAUGCAAGUCGAGCGGUUGAGAGUAGCUUGCUACUUGAUGCAGCGGCGGACGGGUGAGUAACGCGUGGGAAUCUGCCCAGUAGUGGGGGACAACAGCCGGAAACGGCUGCUAAUACCGCAUACGCCCUACGGGGGAAAGGGGGGGAUCUUCGGACCUCUCGCUAUUGGAUGAGCCCGCGUCGGACUAGCUAGUUGGUAGGGUAAAGGCCUACCAAGGCUACGAUCCGUAACUGGUCUGAGAGGAUGGUCAGUCACACUGGAGCUGAGACACGGUCCAGACUCCUACGGGAGGCAGCAGUGGGGAAUAUUGGACAAUGGGGGAAACCCUGAUCCAGCCAUGCCGCGUGUGUGAAGAAGGCCUUAGGGUUGUAAAGCACUUUCAGUGGGGAGAAAGGUUUGUCACCUAAUACGUGAUGAAAUUGAUGUUACCCACAGAAGAAGCACCGGCUAACUCCGUGCCAGCCGCCGCAGUAACAC